UACGUAGGGUGCGAGCGUUGUCCGGAAUUAUUGGGCGUAAAGAGCUCGUAGGCGGUUUGUCGCGUCGGCCGUGAAAACUUGGGGCUUAACCCCGAGCCUGCGGUCGAUACGGGCAGACUUGAGUUCGGCAGGGGAGACUGGAAUUCCUGGUGUAGCGGUGAAAUGCGCGGAUAUCAGGAGGAACACCGGUGGCGAAGGCGGGUCUCUGGGCCGAUACUGACGCUGAGGAGCGAAAGCGUGGGGAGCGAACAGG
rnacentral:rRNA from 1 species